GACGAACGCUGGCGGCGUGCUUAACACAUGCAAGUCGAACGAGCAACGGACGGGUGAGUAAUGUCUGGGAACCUGCCUGAUAGCGGGGGAUACCUACUGGAAACCAUAGCUAAUCCCGCAUACCAUCAGAUGUGCCAAGAUGGUAUUAGCUAGUCGGUGGGUUAACGGCUCACCUAGGAGACGAUCCCUAGCUGGUCUGAGAGGAUGACCAGCCACACUGGAACUGAUACACGGUCCAGACUCAUACGGGAGGCAGCAGUGGGGAAUAUUGCAAAAUGGGCGCAAGCCUGAUGCAGCCAUGCCGCGUGUGUGAAGAAGGCCUUCGGGUUGUAAAGCACUUUCAGCGGGGAGGCGGUACCCGCAGAAGAAGCACCGGCUAACUCCGUGCCAGCAGCCGCGGUAAUUC
rnacentral:rRNA from 1 species